UAAGAACAGUUUGCAGUCUGACAGCAGCGCUCACACAAUGCCAGUAGCCAAAAAAAACCUGAGGUCAUAGUACUGGUCUAGUGAAGUCUCUGUGACAAUCUACCACUCACCAGCCUCCAAAUUCUCGGACAGAU